rnacentral:tRNA from 1 species
AAAGGGAGACCUAAUUCGGGUAGAAGACGAAAAAAUAGUAGUCGAAACCAAGAAUCAAUCCCAAAAGGUCGGAACGAGGUAUGUGGCUUUCAAACUAGGUUCUGGGUUCACAAAAGACCUGAAUCAGGAACAAGGGCUAUUAGCUCAGGUGGUUAGAGCGCACCCCUGAUAAGGGUGAGGUCCCUGGUUCGAGUCCAGGAUGGCCCACCUGCACAGGUGGCAAAAACAAGAGAAACGAGGAAUCAGCACCUUAUCUUACUUACAUAGUAAGAGAGAAUGCUGGCUCUGAGUAAAGAGUCCAGAGGAACCUUGAAAACUGCAUAGAGCUAGGUGAAAAAGCCAAAAAAGAGGACCGCAAG